GCUAAAAAGUAAAGAAGUCCAUUAGUAGACACAGAAGGCACCUCCCCCUAUUCCUUGGUACCUCUCAUGAAUCUGAAAUGAGGGCAAUCCUUUGGGGCACUCCAAUGCAAGACCCUUUGUGAGAACAUAGUGAGACAACUAAGCCAGCAGUUUCCUGCAGCUCCAUCCAAGGCUGUUCUUGGAACACAGUUUUCAAGCCUGCUUGCCCAUGCUGAUGUGCUGCUGUUCAAGGAAGUAUUUGCUAAUUCAUGCAAUGUCCUGGGAGCAGUGGUUCUGAGCUGCAGCAGCAGAGGUCUCCUGUCCUCAUGGAAACACUUGCACACAGAACCAUCACCUCCCCUCUGGCUCUUACCUGUACCAGUUGGUGAGUGUCAUCAUGAUGUAAAGAGAGGCAAGGAAGAGCAUGAAGUGGAAGAAGGUGUAGCUGUACUGAACCCCGUCCUUCUCGUUGUCCGCGACACGGC